AUACUUACUUGGCAGGGGAGAUGCCAUGAUCACGAAGGUGGUUGUCCCAGAGCAAGGCUUAUCCAUUGCACUCUGGAUGUGCCGACCCCUGCGAUUUCCCCAAAUGUGAGAAACUCGACUGCAUCAUUUGCAGUAGUGGGGGACUGUGUUCGCGCUCUCCCCUG
rnacentral:snRNA from 1 species